ACGUAGGGGGCGAGCGUUAUUCGGAAUGACUGGGUGUAAAGGGUAUGUAGGCGGCCCUUCAAGUCGCGUGUCAAAGUCCAGUGCUCAACGCUGGGUGUGCACUCGAUACUGACGGGCUUGAGUGCUGGAGAGGUGAGCGGAAUUCCCGGUGUAGCGGUAAAAUGCGUAGAGAUCGGGAGGAACACCAGUGGCGCAGGCGGCUCACUGGACAGUUUCUGACGCUAAGAUGCGAAAGCGUGGGGAGCAAACAG
rnacentral:rRNA from 1 species